CUACGGGUUGCAGCAGUGAGGAAUAUUGCACAAUGGGGGGAACCCUGAUGCAGCAACGCCGCGUGGAGGAUGACGCAUUUCGGUGUGUAAACUCCUUUUAUAUGUCAAGAAAAUGACGGUAGCAUAUGAAUAAGCACCGGCUAACUCCGUGCCAGCAGCCGCGGUAAUACGGAGGGUGCUAGCGUUACUCGGAAUCACUGGGCGUAAAGGACGCGUAGGCGGGUUGGAAAGUCAGGUGUGAAAUCCUACAGCUUAACUGUAGAACUGCACUUGAAACUUCUAAUCUAGAGUAUGGGAGGGGGAGAUGGAAUUAGUGGUGUAGGGGUAAAAUCCGUAGAUAUCACUAGGAAUACCUAAAGCGAAGGCGAUCUCCUGGAACAUCACUGACGCUAAGGCGUGAAAGCGUGGGGAGCAAACAGGAUUAGAUACCCCGGUAGUC
rnacentral:rRNA from 1 species